GGAUUCCCCUAGUAACUGCGAGUGAAGCGGGAAAAGCUCAAAUUUAAAAUCUGGCGGUCUUUGGCCGUCCGAGUUGUAAUCUAGAGAAGUGUUACCCGCGUCGGACCGUGUACAAGUCUCCUGGAAUGGAGCGUCAUAGAGGGUGAGAAUCCCGUCUUUGACACGGACUACCGAGGCUUUGUGGUGCGCUCUCAAAGAGUCGAGUUGUUUGGGAAUGCAGCUCAAAAUGGGUGGUAAAUUCCAUCUAAAGCUAAAUAUUGGCGAGAGACCGAUAGCGAACAAGUACCGUGAGGGAAAGAUGAAAAGAACUUUGGAAAGAGAGUUAAACAGUACGUGAAAUUGCUGAAAGGGAAACGCUUGAAGUCAGUCGCGUCGUCCGGGAAUCAGCCUUCCUUCUGGUUGGUGUACUUCCUGGUCGACGGGCCAGCAUCAGUUUUGACCGGUGGAAAAAGUUCGAGGGAAUGUGGCACCUCCGGGUGUGUUAUAGCCCUCGUUCGUAUACAUCGGUUGGGACUGAGGAACUCAGCACGCCGCAAGGCCGGGAUUCGUCCACGUUCGUGCUUAGGAUGCUGGCAUAAUGGCUUUAAUCGACCCGUC
rnacentral:rRNA from 1 species